rnacentral:rRNA from 1 species
AGUGAACGCUGGCGGUAGGCCUAACACAUGCAAGUCGAACGGCAGCACAGUAAGAGCUUGCUCUUACGGGUGGCGAGUGGCGGACGGGUGAGGAAUACAUCGGAAUCUACUUUUUCGUGGGGGAUAACGUAGGGAAACUUACGCUAAUACCGCAUACGACCUACGGGUGAAAGCAGGGGAUCUUCGGACCUUGCGCGAUUGAAUGAGCCGAUGUCGGAUUAGCUAGUUGGCGGGGUAAAGGCCCACCAAGGCGACGAUCCGUAGCUGGUCUGAGAGGAUGAUCAGCCGCACUGGAACUGAGACACGGUCCAUACUCCUACGGGAGGCAGCAGUGGGGAAUAUUGGACAAUGGGCGCAAGCCUGAUCCAGCCAUACCGCGUGGGUGAAGAAGGCCUUCGGGUUGUAAAGCCCUUUUGUUGGGAAAGAAAAGCAGCAGGUUAAUACCCCGCUGUUCUGACGGUACCCAAAGAAUAAGCACCGGCUAACUUCGUG